UGCCACUCCUCCCCAAUUAGGAAUGUGGCAAGCCCGAAACCCUUCCCGCAUGACUGCCACAGGGAAAGUAAGAAAAAGAAUACAUACUAAGCCUAAGUAAAAUGGCUACACAUCUGUCAAUUUCGGGCUUGACACUUGGCUUUUCUCUGAAGCUCC